CGUCUCUCCGCGUCACCAUCACCACCCCUCCACUGACCACUGUGCAGUGCUCCUGCGCACCCCGCGCCACCUCCAUAAAACCCACCGCGACCGCGAGCCGGCCGAAGCGGAACCCCCACCCCGCGGAUCCAACACGAGAACCCGUCACCAUCCUCGCAUCACAUGCGCGCAUAGGCCCCGGCCGCAGGGUCGCAAUCACCACCAUGCCGCCAGCGCUGCUCGCUUGUCUCCUCAUCCUGCUCGUCGCCGCGCCGCGGCCGUGGUCUGUCGCCGGCGAGCCGGGCGGGGCCAAGCCUCGCGCGUUCCCGCUGCGCUCGCGGCAGGUGCCGGUGGGGGCGCUGCCGCGGCCGCCGAGCAAGCUGCGGUUCCACCACAACGUCAGCCUCACCGUCUCGCUCGCCGUCGGCACGCCGCCGCAGAACGUCACCAUGGUGCUCGACACGGGCAGCGAGCUCUCCUGGCUGCUCUGCGCGACGGGGCGCGCCGCGGCCGCUGCUGCCGACUCGUUCCGCCCCAGGGCCUCGGCCACGUUCGCCGCCGUGCCCUGCGGCUCCGCGCGCUGCAGCUCCCGGGACCUGCCGGCGCCGCCGUCCUGCGACGCCGCCUCGCGCCGGUGCCGCGUGUCGCUGUCGUACGCGGACGGGUCCGCCUCCGACGGCGCGCUCGCCACCGACGUCUUCGCCGUCGGCGACGCGCCGCCGCUGCGGUCCGCGUUCGGCUGCAUGUCCGCCGCGUACGACUCCUCGCCCGACGCCGUCGCCACGGCCGGGCUGCUGGGGAUGAACAGGGGCGCGCUCUCCUUCGUCACCCAGGCCAGCACGCGCCGCUUCUCGUACUGCAUCUCCGACCGGGACGACGCCGGCGUGCUGCUGCUCGGCCACAGCGACCUCCCCUUCCUGCCGCUCAACUACACGCCGCUGUACCAGCCCACCCCGCCGCUCCCCUACUUCGACCGCGUGGCCUACUCCGUCCAGCUCCUCGGCAUCCGCGUCGGCGGCAAGCCCCUGCCGAUCCCGCCGUCGGUUCUCGCGCCGGACCACACCGGCGCAGGGCAGACGAUGGUGGACUCCGGCACGCAGUUCACCUUCCUCCUCGGGGACGCCUACUCCGCCGUCAAAGCCGAGUUCUUGAAACAAACGAAGCCCCUUCUCCCCGCGCUCGAGGACCCCAGCUUCGCAUUCCAAGAAGCGUUCGACACCUGCUUCCGCGUGCCCAAGGGGCGCCCGCCGCCGUCGGCGAGGCUCCCGCCCGUGACCCUGCUGUUCAAUGGCGCGCAGAUGUCGGUGGCGGGGGACAGGCUGCUGUACAAGGUCCCCGGAGAGCGCCGGGGAGCCGACGGCGUGUGGUGCCUGACGUUCGGGAACGCGGACAUGGUGCCCCUGACGGCGUACGUGAUCGGGCACCACCACCAGAUGAACCUGUGGGUCGAGUACGACCUGGAGCGCGGCCGCGUCGGGCUCGCGCCUGUCAAGUGCGACGUCGCCAGCGAGCGGCUCGGCCUCAUGCUGUGACGCGGCCUGUGCUCUGGCUCGGGGGUUAGCUCCUCCAGUUGCCAUAUAACCUUAACCUGCCAAACGAUUCUAAAGUUUGGAACUUGUUUAUCCUUUUUCAUGUGGCAUGUACGGUGUCUAGUGUAAACUGGAAAUUAAGUGUAGUGUACUAAUGUGCUUCUUUAUUUUACUGAACAGGUAGUGUUGUUGUAUAUUGUCUGUAAAUAUCAACAUGCAUGCACUAAGAUCAACUAAGCUUGUGGUGUACAUUAUACGUAUAA
rnacentral:misc_RNA from 1 species